AUCAUAUUCAUGGUAAGAUGCCUAAGUUACUGGAACAGUAUGAGUUCAUACACAAAUGUUCAAUACUAUUGUUUUGAAUCAGCAGAAAUAAAAGAAAGCGGGGGCAGAUUUAGUGAUAACUAUUACUAGUAUAUUUCUAGUCAAAUAAAAAAAAAAAAAAGCAAGCUAGUCUUGAGCAGUACAAGACCGAAGGAUUCAAGCAGAGCUCGAGAAUGCGUCAUUGCAAAACAUGUACUCCUUAGCAACCGUUCUCGUGGAUUUGCACACGUGCCUUUCCGUGACUUAGCGCAUGUAUCGCUAUGUAAAUCGCCCUGAGGCUUAAAAAGACCUACCUUGGAGAGAACCGAUUUCUGUCUUGAGACUCCGGCAUGUGUUGCAAAAUUCGUUCAUUGAAUUGAACCUCUUCAUCCGUGACACUUCUCCCUAUAGCCGUCAUCACUAAAUUUAAUCAUCAAAGACAUGAAAGUUUCACCGUCAAUCAUUGAUCAGAGAGCUGUGCCUUGAAAUGCCAACACUUGUCCAAGGUCGGUAACGCUUUAAUUUAAAGUAAGAUCUUCUUAUGUCUUAUAUAAGUUAUGGCAUGCUCUAUAGCAGACCACAGAUUAAUUUACGCCUCAUUAAACUGAGCUCUCAAGAGUAGUUCGAUUACCAGAAAAUUACGUGAUUGAAAACAAUCUAUGAUCAGGACUGAUUCUUGUAAAGAACAGAUUGUACUUGCUGCAUCGCACAAUUGUAUUGAAACAGGAUGAAGAAGAGAUUGCACUUGUUGCAUCGCACAAUUGCCCAAAAUCAUCAAUCUCGAUCAAACGGAUAUGUAAAAGGCCGCUAUAUAGGCGAGAACAUCAUAUUGAUUCAAGAUGUCAUGUUUCUCACUAAAAGCUUUAAUAUGCCAGGAAUUGCAUUUUUUCUUUUUUUGAUUUUCGAAAAGCUUUUGACACAAUAAAAUGGAACUAUCUAUUAUCCAGGCUUAGACUGUUCAAUUUUGGCCCUGCAACUCAUGUAGAACCAAGUGGUCUUAAGAGAUCUUGGAACAAGUAAAUUGACUAUCACUAUUCAAAUUAUCCGUUCACUCGUAGCCUGGGAACCGACUCCGCGUUGGGUUGAUUGGUUUAUUGCGAACUAGCGUGUGGUCUAGGGCGAGCGGAGGAGCCGGAGCCGAAUAGUGACGAGGGGGAGCACAAUUCGCGGAAUUCCGCGAAUUGUGCUCCCCUCGUCACUUUUUUCAAUUGCAUCGAGGCGUCCGGCAAGGAUGCCCCUUAUCGGGCCUUCUUUUUGUAAUUGGUAUUGAGCUUUUCGCAAGGGCAUUU